rnacentral:lncRNA from 1 species
AAAAGAAUUGAUUUGUUUAUUGAGAAAAUACUCGACGUUGGAUCGAGUCAUUAUUUUUUAUUUUUUUUUGAAAAGAAGUUGAUUUUAUUCUUGUGUUAGUAACUAGCUAAACAAUCAGGCAAUAAAGGAAUGAAAAGUGGUAAAAUUAUUAUACGUCAUGGAAAUGGGGUUACAUUUUGUCGCAUGAGGAUUCAAAAUAAUGAAAUAAUUAAAUCGGGCCCAAUCAACGAACAAGCAAUGCAUGAGUGUAGGUGCAAGGGAAUCGUCUCAUUGUAAGAAGGCCCAAGAGUAAG